ACUGGGUCCACCGAGGGUGCUUCACCGUAGACGGGACACGGUCUCAGUUUUGGAUGGACCUGUUUGGAGAUUUAAGAGACUCCGGAAACUUCAACGGAAGCCACGAGCACCAGUGCUUACUCAGAUUCUGCUUCACCAAAGUUCUGCAGAAAGACAUGGAUGAAUGUAAAGAUCUCUGGAAUAACCACAGGAUCCGGCCAAGCAGAUUUGCAUCAUGCCCUGGUGGGAUUCCAAACGAACUCUAUCUCUUACCUCACAGAUAUGAUUCAAGAGAUUGUGGAUUUCCUGUUGAGGACAUCGAUCUUGACGUUUUCCCAGAAGUAAGUCAGGUGACAGAGUUGUGUGGUGAUAAAGACAUCGAGGAAUACCUACAGCAAGCCAUGCAAC